UACGUAGGGUGCGAGCGUUAAUCGGAAUUACUGGGCGUAAAGGGCGCGUAGGCGGGAUGGCAAGUCGGUCGUGAAAUCCCUCGGCUCAACUGAGGAUCGUCGAUCGAUACUGCCGUUCUUGAGGAUUGCAGAGGAGACUGGAAUUCCCGGUGUAGCGGUGAAAUGUGUAGAGAUCGGGAGGAACACCGGUGGCGAAGGCGGGUCUCUGGGCAAUUCCUGACGCUGAGGCGCGAAAGCGUGGGGAGCAAACGGG
rnacentral:rRNA from 1 species